rnacentral:lncRNA from 1 species
CAAGAGAUCAGCAAAGUAAUGGGUGGGACCAUGGAGGUCUGUUUUCAGGACUCCUUGACACAGCCCAGUGCUUUCCUUCUUCCCAUUGAUUGCUUACAGUCUAUUCUUUUGUGUUACUUCAAAGUACAAUAUAUGUUCCUUGUUCCUUUUGUCCCAAUGGAACUGCUCUUUGCUAUGCCUUGUUGUCAUACAGGACCAGUUUCCCUAGGUCGUGAAGAGUUCACCUGCGAAGUUAAUUUAUGGGCUGGGGAGCACUAAUGAAUUGAUGCAUAUUUUGUCCAGUGUGAAGUCCUUUGUGAAUGAGCCACAUUUUUUACUCAUUCAAGUCCCUACAGCAUAAUCACAUAGAUUAACUCACUUGGAUCGUUAAUUGUUACACUGUAAGAACUCCACAAACUUGAUCAGAGAGAUUCCACUUAUUUCAAAGUUACUGAGGCCAGAACAGUUCUCCCUCAUCCCUUCAAGAAACAGAAUGUCUGUGGUCAGAAGUUCCUUCUUGGGACUAAACCAGUUGAAGCUGGCAAAAUCCAUGAUGGCAGCUUACUCGAUCUUUGAAGAACCUCUAGCUUCAUUAUACUCCAACUUCCAUACUAAAUGACACUCCCACCAAUGCCAUGACAGUUGACAAUCAUCAUGACAGUGACCAAAAAGAACCAAAAAAGGACAGGAAAGAAGUGGCUACUUGAUUCCAGGAAAAUCUCCAUCCUUUCCCAAGAAAAGCAUGAAUAUUCCUCUCCUUGGUUUUAACGCUCAAACCUUUCAUUAAAGAUACCUUGUGUCUGUAACUUCCUGAUUCUCAGGAGCUGACAUGUUGAUGUGUGAGCCACACUCCCACUUCUCCAUGUCAUGACCAUCGAAUAAAACCUGUACUGCUCUAUGCUCA